rnacentral:rRNA from 1 species
CACGUAGGGUGCGAGCGUUGUCCGGAAUUAUUGGGCGUAAAGAGCUCGUAGGCGGUGUGUCGCGUCGGCCGUGAAAACCUGCAGCUUAACUGCGGGCUUGCGGUUGAUACGGGCGGGCUAGAGUUCGGUAGGGGAGACUGGAAUUCCUGGUGUAGCGGUGAAAUGCGCAGAUAUCAGGAGGAACAUCAGUGGCGAAGGCGGCCUGCUGGGCUGUUGCUGACGCUGAGGCGCGACAGCGUGGGGAGCAAACAGG